UGAAUACGAGACGCUAAGGCGUCGAAGUAGUGUAUGUCAUACUUCCAAGAAAAGCUUGCACUGUCAUAGAUAAAAAACGCCUGUACCAUAACCGACACAGGUGGGUAGGUAGAGUAUACUAAGGGGCGCGAGAUAACUCUCUCUAAGGAACUCGGCAAAAUAACUCCGUAACUUCGGGAGAAGGAGUGCCUUAUUCGUAAGGUUGCAAUAACAAGAUCCAAGCAACUGUUUAUCAAAAACACAGGUCUCCGCUAAGUCGUAAGACGAUGUAUGGGGGCUGACGCCUGCCCAGUGCCAGAAGGUUAAAGAAGUUGGUUAGCAAUUGCGAAGCUGAUAACUGAAGCCCUGGUGAACGGCGGCCGUAACAAUAACGGUCCUAAGGUAGCGAAAUUCCUUGUCGGGUAAGUUCCGACCCGCACGAAAGGCGUAAUGAUUUGGAUACUGUCUCGGAGAGGGGCUCGGUGAAAUAGACUUGUCUGUGAAGAUGCGGACUACCUGCACCAGGACAGAAAGACCCUAUGAAGCUUUACUGUAACUUGAAAUUGAAAUUGGACUUUAUUCGCGCAGUAUAGGUGGGAGGCGUUGAUUAUAAUCUUGUGGGAUUAUUGGAGCCAUCAGUGAGAUACCACUCUUGUAAUGUUAGAUUUCUAACUUUGAAUCAUUAUCUGGUCAAAGAACAGUUUCAGGCGGGCAGUUUGACUGGGGCGGUCGCCUCCUAAACGGUAACGGAGGCGUACAAAGGUUUCCUCAGAACGGUUAGAAAUCGUAUCUAGAGUGUAAAGGCAUAAGGAAGCUUGACUGUGAGACCUACAAGUCGAGCAGGGACGAAAGUCGGUCUUAGUGAUCUGACGGUACUGAGUGGAAAGGCCGUCACUCAACGGAUAAAAGUUACUCUAAGGAUAACAGGCUGAUCUCCCCCAAGAGUUCACAUCGACGGGGAGGUUUGGCACCUCGAUGUCGGCUCAUCGCAUCCUGGGGCGGUAGUACGUCCCAAGGGUUGGGCUGUUCGCCCAUGAAAGCGGUACGCGAGCUGGGCUCAGAACGUCGUGAGACAGUUCGGUCCAUAUCCGGUGUAGGCGUUAGAAUAUUGAGAGGAGCCUUCUUUAGUACGAGAGGACCGAGAAGGACAUACCUCUGGUGUACCAGUUAUCGUGCCAACGGUAAACGCUGGGUAGCUAUGUAUGGAGUGGAUAACCGCUGAAAGCAUCUAAGUGGGAAGCCCACCUCAAGAUAAGUAUUCUCAGC
rnacentral:rRNA from 1 species